rnacentral:lncRNA from 1 species
UGAGGGUUUUGCUGGUAUAAGGAAUGUAGAGUGGGAUGCCAUGGAAACAAGGCAUGAUGAGGUUCUUGUAUAUUGGAAUGCAUAUAGACUGCUGGAAUUUGGAAUAAUCUUUCUAUAAUUGCUUCGAUUUGCAGUUUUGGGAGGAUGGCAAGAUCUUUAGCUAAUUUCCUUUACAAAGGCAUUGCUGCAUUUUCAGCUGCUAGUUCAACUGUAAGUUUAUUUAGUUUUAUGUUUGCUUGAAUAUCUCUAAACUACGCAUUUUUUCAUAGCUUGUGAGCAGCUUAAUUGCAUCCCCUUUCUCAUUUCCUAACAGAUUAGUUUAAUAAGAAGCAUGAGCUUCAGUAUUCCUAUUGCAUGAGCGAAAAUUGUUAGUUUAUUCACUCAACUUAUUUUCCCAUUAUCAUAUAAAUUAGAGGAAUAGUUAAUUAUGCCAACACUGUUUAUCAAUUUGAGUCACCCUAAGCCUUCUCAUGUCCUGUAAUGCGAGAAGAGGAUGACACCUAGAAAAAGGUUACAGUGGGCCAUG